UACGUAGGGUGCGAGCGUUGUCCGGAAUUACUGGGCGUAAAGAGCUCGUAGGUGGUUUGUCGCGUUGUCCGUGAAAACUCACAACUCAAUUGUGGGCGUGCGGGCGAUACGGGCAGACUGGAGUACUGCAGGGGAGACUGGAAUUCCUGGUGUAGCGGUGGAAAUGCGCAGAGUAUCAGGAGGAACACCGGUGGCGAAGGCGGGUCUGCUGGGCAGUAACUGACACUGAGGCGCGACAGCGUGG
rnacentral:rRNA from 1 species